UGGGGAAUUUUGCACAAUGGGCGAAAGCCUGAUGCAGCAACGCCGCGUGCGGGAUGAAGGCCCUCGGGUUGUAAACCGCUUUCAGCAGGGACGAAUAUGACGGUACCUGCAGAAGAAGCCCCGGCUAACUACGUGCCAGCAGCCGCGGUAAUACGUAGGGGGCAAGCGUUAUCCGGAUUCAUUGGGCGUAAAGAGCGCGUAGGCGGACUGUUAAGUCAGAUGUGAAAACCGGGGGCUCAACCCGCGGCCUGCAUCUGAAACUGGCAGUCUUGAGUCUGGUAGAGGAAAGUGGAAUUCCUGGUGUAGCAGUGAAAUGCGUAGAUAUCGAGAGGAACACCAGUGGCGAAGGCGAGUCUCUGGACGACUCCUGACACUGAGGCACGAAAGCCAGGGGAGCAAACAG
rnacentral:rRNA from 1 species